GAUGAACGCUGGCGGCGUGCCUAAUACAUGCAAGUCGAGCGAAUGGAUUAAGAGCUUGCUCUUAUGAAGUUAGCGGCGGACGGGUGAGUAACACGUGGGUAACCUGCCCAUAAGACUGGGAUAACUCCGGGAAACCGGGGCUAAUACCGGAUAACAUUUUGAACCGCUUGGUUCGAAAUUGAAAGGCGGCUUCGGCUGUCACUUAUGGAUGGACCCGCGUCGCAUUAGCUAGUUGGUGAGGUAACGGCUCACCAAGGCAACGAUGCGUAGCCGACCUGAGAGGGUGAUCGGCCACACUGGGGCUGAGACACGGCCCAGACUCCUACGGGAGGCAGCAGUAGGGAAUCUUCCGCAAUGGACGAAAGUCUGACGGAGCAACGCCGCGUGAGUGAUGAAGGCUUUCGGGUCGUAAAACUCUGUUGUUAGGGAAGAACAAGUGCUAGUUGAAUAAGCUGGCACCUUGACGGUACCUAACCAGAAAGCCACGGCUAACUACGUGCCAGCCGCCGCCGUAA
rnacentral:rRNA from 1 species